CUUUUGACCUCGGAUCAGGUAGGGAUACCCGCUGAACUUAAGCAUAUCAAUAAGCGGAGGAAAAGAAACCAACAGGGAUUGCCCUAGUAACGGCGAGUGAAGCGGCAACAGCUCAAUUUGAAAUCACAGCUCUUUUAGAGUCCGAGUUGUAAUUUGCAGAGGGCGCUUUGGCUUUGGCAGCGGUCCAAGUUCCUUGGAACAGGACGUCACAGAGGGUGAGAAUCCCGUACGUGGUCGCUGGCUAUUGCCGUGUAAAGCCCCUUCGACGAGUCGAGUUGUUUGGGAAUGCAGCCCUAAAUGGGAGGUACAUUUCUUCUAAAGCUAAAUAUUGGCCAGAGACCGAUAGCGCACAAGUAGAGUGAUCGAAAGAUGAAAAGCACUUUGGAAAGAGAGUCAAACAGCACGUGAAAUUGUUGAAAGGGAAGCGCUUGCAGCCAGACUUGCUUACAGUUGCUCAUCCGGGUUUCUACCCGGUGCACUCUUCUGUAGGCAGGCCAGCAUCAGUUUGGGCGGUAGGAUAAAGGUCUCUGUCACGUACCUCCUUUCGGGGAGGCCUUAUAGGGGAGACGACAUACUACCAGCCUGGACUGAGGUCCGCGCAUCUGCUAGGAUGCUGGCGUAAUGGCUGUAAGCGGCCCGUCUUGAAACACGGACCAAGGAGUCUAACAUCUAUGCGAGUGUUUGGGUGUCAAGCCCGAGCGCGUAAUGAAAGUGAACGGAGGUGGGAACCCGCAAGGGUGCACCAUCGACCGAUCCUGAUGUCUU
rnacentral:rRNA from 1 species